AAACAUUUAAAAUGUUUUUUAUUAUUAUUAUUUACAUGUCUAAAAUGUUUGGAUAAACAGUUCUAAACUUGUUGUCACAAAAUUUACCUAAUGGGUUUAAAUUGGUCAUGGUUCAUCCUCCAAUUUGUGCCGUUAAAAAAAUUAUAAAAUCCACUGUAAUUUUAUUAAUCGCAUAAUUUUUUCCAACAAGUACAAAUUUCAUAGUCAGUUGCUGAGCAAACAUGAAUGUGAUCAAAAAAAUUAGCCCGGGUAAAUCAUGAAACGUCCUGAGGAGGGUAGUGUUUGUUUUAAGGUGGCGCCGCGGAUGGCGAGCACGUGAAACUGCGGGAGAGAGCAGCGCGUGAACGCCAGGGACCGAGACGUGGGGUCGAACACGCGGGAUCUACUUCACGUCCAACUGGGGGAACUCAAUUAACUCAAACGUUACCGUGUAACUUGAAGUUCCCUCAAACAAUAAAGGCCUCCUUUCAGGACGAACAGAAAGUCCGCGGUGCCUCCUUAACUGAGUGCUGGCACUUCAGAGUGGGGAGUGCAAAGGAGAGGGUCAGAAAGACUGGUGGGUGGGGAUAAAGCCCUUUUGGGAGUGAGGAGGGGUGGGGGGAACUAAAAAAGAAAAAAAGAAAAAAUCACGUGUUUGGAGAUCAAAGGAGAUCCGCUUUGUAGAGGAGGAGGAGGAGGGUGAGAAAGAAAGAGGGAGGGAGAAAGCGAGGCAGCGUUGAGGCAAUGUAAUUGACAAGGCUCGCAGUGGUGAAAUAAACACGCUUCGGCGCAGGGGCUCAGCUUUUAUUGCACAAUCCCGACUCCCUUUUUUUUCUUUUUUUUUUUUUUUUUGGGAGGCAUCGCCCACAGCGACUACACCUGAUUCCAAUUACCUUCACCCGAUUAAUUAAUCCGUGUGAAAUUAUGUCCCGAUCGGCGCAGAUCAAGCCGGCAAGAUGAUGAUUUUCCUAAGGAGAGGCUCGGCUCGGGUGCCCGACUCGGUGGUCCCGGUGAUCUGGCUGCUGGCCGCUUCUCUGGGCGCCGUUCUCGCCAAGGAUACAGCCUUUGUGGAAGUGGUGCUGUUCGAGUCCAGUCCCAAUGGGGAUUAUACUACCUACACGACUGGCUUGCAGGGACGGUUCUCCGAAGCUGGAGCCACUAUCAGCGCGGAGGGGGAGAUCGUUCAAAGGCAUCCUUUUGGACAUGCAAAA